AACGAACGCUGGCGGCAUGCCUAACACAUGCCAGUCGAACGAGACCUUCGGGUCUAGUGGCGCACGGGUGCGUAACGCGUGGGAACCUGCCCUUAGGUUCGGAAUAACUCCCCGAAAGGGGUGCUAAUACCGGAUAAUGUCUUCGGACCAAAGAUUUAUCGCCUUUGGAUGGGCCCGCGUUGGAUUAGCUAGUUGGUAGGGUAAAAGCCUACCAAGGCGACGAUCCAUAGCUGGUCUGAGAGGAUGAUCAGCCACACUGGGACUGAGACACGGCCCAGACUCCUACGGGAGGCAGCAGUGGGGAAUAUUGGACAAUGGGCGAAAGCCUGAUCCAGCAAUGCCGCGUGAGUGAUGAAGGCCUUAGGGUUGUGAAGCUCUUUUACCCGGGAUGAUAAUGACAGUACCGGGAGAAUAAGCUCCGGCUAACUCCGUG
rnacentral:rRNA from 1 species